GACGAACGCUGGCGGCGUGCUUAACACAUGCAAGUCGAGCGGUAAGGCCCUUUCGGGGGUACACGAGCGGCGAACGGGUGAGUAACACGUGGGUGACCCGCCUUUAGCUCUGGGAUAAGCCUGGGAAACUGGGUCUAAUACCGGAUACGACUCCGCGGUGCAUGCUGUGGGGUGGAAAGCCUUGUGCGGCUGGAGAUGGGCCCGCGGCCUAUCAGCUUGUGGUGGGGUGAUGGCCUACCAAGGCGACGACGGGUAGCCGGCCUGAGAGGGCGACCGGCCACACUGGGACUGAGACACGGCCCAGACUCCUACGGGAGGCAGCAGUGGGGAAUCUUGCGCAAUGGGCGAAAGCCUGACGCAGCGACGCCGCGUGAGGGAUGACGGCCUCGG
rnacentral:rRNA from 1 species